rnacentral:piRNA from 1 species
UGCCACCUCAGAACUCUGAGCGACACACCCAA